AACGAACGCUGGCGGCAGGCCUAACACAUGCAAGUCGAGCGCGCCCUUCGGGGUGAGCGGCGGACGGGUGAGUAACGCGUGGGAACGUGCCCUUCUCUGCGGAAUAGCCUCGGGAAACUGAGAGUAAUACCGCAUACGCCCUGUGGGGGGAAGAUUUAUCGGAGAAGGAUCGGCCCGCGUUGUAUUAGGUAGUUGGUGGGGUAAUGGCCCACCAAGCCGACGAUCCAUAGCUGGGUUGAGAGGAUGAUCAGCCACACUGGGACUGAGACACGGCCCAGACUCCUACGGGAGGCAGCAGUGGGGAACCUUAGACACUGGGGGCAACCCUGAUCUCGCCAUGCCGCGUGAGUGAUGAAGGCCUUAGGGUUGUAAAGCUCUUUCAGCCGGGAAGAUAAUGACGGUACCAGCAGAAGAAGCCCCGGCUACCUCCGU
rnacentral:rRNA from 1 species